rnacentral:rRNA from 1 species
UACAGAGACUGCAAGCGUUAUUCGGAUUCACUGGGCGUAAAGGGUGCGUAGGCGGCGCGGUAAGUCGGGUGUUAAAUCUCGGGGCUUAACUCCGAAACUGCAUUCGAUACUGCCGUGCUUGAGGACUGGAGAGGAGACUGGAAUUUACGGUGUAGCGGUGAAAUGCGUAGAUAUCGUAAGGAAGACCAGUGGCGAAGGCGGGUCUCUGGACAGUUCCUGACGCUGAGGCACGAAGGCCAGGGGAGCAAACGGG